rnacentral:rRNA from 1 species
UAGGGAAUCUUCGGCAAUGGACGGAAGUCUGACCGAGCGACGCCGCGUGAGUGAAGAAGGUUUUCGGAUCGUAAAGCUCUGUUGUAAGAGAAGAACGAGUGUGAGAGUGGAAAGUUCACACUGUGACGGUAUCUUACCAGAAAGGGACGGCUAACUACGUGCCAGCAGCCGCGGUAAUACGUAGGUCCCGAGCGUUGUCCGGAUUUAUUGGGCGUAAAGCGAGCGCAGGCGGUUAGAUAAGUCUGAAGUUAAAGGCUGUGGCUUAGCCAUAGUAGGCUUUGGAAACUGUUUAACUUGAGUGCAAGAGGGGAGAGUGGAAUUCCAUGUGUAGCGGUGAAAUGCGUAGAUAUAUGGAGGAACACCGGUGGCGAAAGCGGCUCUCUGGCUUGUAACUGACGCUGAGGCUCGAAAGCGUGGGGAGCAAACAGGAUUAGAUACCCUGGUAGUCCACGCUGUAAACGAUGAGUGCUAGGUGUUAGACCCUUUCCGGGGUUUAGUGCCGUAGCUAACGCAUUACACUCCGCCUGGGGAGUGCGACCGCAAGGUUG